rnacentral:rRNA from 1 species
AACGAACGCUGGCGGCGUGGAUUAGGCAUGCAAGUCGUACGCGAAAGAGGGAGCAAUCCCUUGAGUAGAGUGGCGAACGGGUGAGUAACGCGUGAGAAACCUGCCUUUGACAGGGGGAUAACACUCCCAACGGGGUGCUAAUACCGCAUGAGACCACGGGAUCGCAUGAUCCUGAGGUCAAAGAUGGCCUCUAUUUAUAAGCUAUCGGUCGAAGAUGGUCUCGCGUCCCAUUAGCUUGUUGGCGGUGUAAAAGACCACCAAGGCGACGAUGGGUAGCUGGU